GGAGAGAGAGAGAGCACGAGCAGCAGAAAGAGAAGGAGCAGAGUCCCUGCUGAGCAGCGAGCCUGAUUCGGGGCUUGAUACCAGGAUCCUGAGAUCAUGACCCAAGCCAAAGUCAGAUGCCCAACUGAGCCACCCAGUAAUUCCUACAUACAGUGUGAGGCUCAAACCCACGACCUCGAGAUCAAGAG
rnacentral:lncRNA from 1 species